CUAAAUUAAUAGUCAUAAGUAUUUGUGCUCCCGAAGUAAGAAUAUCUAACUAGAUAUAUUAUGUUAGAAUUAACACCAAUAAUGUGGCAUAAUUAUUUAUAAAUAUCUAGUUAGGAGUGAAAGGCUUGCCAAUUCUUAUUGAUAACUGGAUAGAACUUAAAUAUAUUAAGUAUAGUUUAUUCAUAUAAAAAGUGCUAAGAUUUUUUAUAAAUAAAAGCAUGAUAUAACCCAGCUAAUUCUACUCUAUUAAUAUAAUUUAGACAAAAGAACUAUAAAUUAUUAUAUUUCUAUUGACUUUUUCCUAUAAGUUUUUAAUAGGAUUCUAAACCACCUUAUUAUUAAAUAAUGUUUAGAUGAGUAUUUAUAUUAAAAAGACGUUAGGAACUCGGCAAAUGACUUUCUUCAACUGUUUAUCAAAAACAUAGCUAACUGCAAUUAUUAUGGUUAGUUAUUUCUGCCCAGUGAGACAUUUAACGGCCGCAGUACACUGACUGUGCAAAGGUAGCAUAAUAAAUUGACUCUUAAUUGGAGUCUUGCAUGAAAGAACUAAAUGGAGGAUAACUGUCUUAUGUUUUCUAUAUAAAAUUUACUUAGAAAGUGUAAAUGCUUUCAAAUUUAAUUAAAAGACGAGAAGACCCUAUAAAUUUUUACAAUAUUUAAAUUACUUUUAAGUUUAGUUUUUGUUGGGGCAACAGUUUAACAGUAGCAUAAUCUAAAUUAAAAAUGGGCUCACAUAAAUCAAGUAUUACUAGUUACAAAAAAAUUACUAUAGGGAUAACAGCAUAAUUUUUCUAUUAAGAUUGUGACCUCGAUGUUGGAUUAGGAAGCUUUUAAAUUAGUAAUUUAAUGGCAUGGUUCUGUUCGCACCUUUAACUCCU
rnacentral:rRNA from 1 species